AGCUUCACAAGACACGGCUCUUAUUAGACACGUGUUGGACAUUCAGCGUCUCUUUCUCUCUCUCUCGACGGAUUGAUUCCGUUUGCAGGGUUCACCAAAUCGCUGUCGCUGCUACACUCAUCUCUGUCGUUGGCUCGAUUCGUUAUAACCCAGGCAGAAUCGCCCCAUCGGAUCUGAUGUUUCUUCGAUCCAGCUUCUUCCCACCCGUAUCCCUUAAAAACAAACUCUUCGGAUCCUCCGAACUCUUCACAGAUUCUGAAAGCCCUUUUUCUUUUAUAAAAAAAAGGAGAGAGUUUUGUUGGUGUGAUGGAUGAAUCAAAUGAGAUCAUCCUGCAGAAAUCAAAGAGAUUGACAUCUAUUGUGUGGAACUACUUUGAACGGGUGAGAAAGGCUGAUGUCUGCUAUGCUGUUUGCAUUCAGUGCAACAAGAAACUCAGCGGUUCCAGCAACAGCGGGACGACUCAUCUCCGGAACCAUCUCAUGCGUUGUCUCAAAAGAACCAACCACGACGGUGUGUAUGUGAGUACAUGACUCUCUUUGAUUUUGAUAUGCUCCCAAUCACAUAUACAAGAAUGUUUCAUAAAUGCAUGUUAGUUGAAUCGUGGUGUUUCUUGUUUGUAAUGAAAGUGUAUUCCAAACUUGUAUAAAUAAAAGUGUAUUCACAAGAAGCCUUGUUCUUCCUUCU